UCGUCGAACGUCAUCCUGAGUAGAGUUGUGGAGACUUUUAUUCGGCGAUCGUUGCGUAUUAAGUUGAAAUUAAAAUGUAUCCAGUCAAUUGACAAACAUAUUUCUACGAAAUCGUUUAGGAUUGCGUUCUCGAAAAUCGGCGGAUUCUGUGAAGUGGAAGUGGAGUGAAGUGGAAGUUAUGUCAAGGUUGGCAACAGCAAAGAUCGAAGAUUCUCAAGGAACCGGAGGGGUGGCGAAGAAGAACGCGCAACAAAGGUCCACAGUUCUUGUAUUCCGAUAAUGUGUACUUACUGACGACUCCUACCGCACCCGGUUGCUCCUUCAUAACAAACUUCAGCGUCAGAAGUGCCAGCAAAUUAGGCAAAUAGAGUUCUUCGUCGCCGGUAAGACCGUUGCUGAGAGCAGGAUUGAAGUACCAGAAUCCUCGAGGCACUCACUCGUAAAAAAAUGGACCCACUUCCUGAAGAAUCGGCUUCUGGCCCGCCGUUAUUUCCACAGGAUUCGUCACGUUGAACAGGUAAACCUUGAAGUCCAACGGAAAAGGAAGAUUCGACCACAACCCUCGCAUCUCGGAACCUGGUUUAAGUGCUACUUGCUGGAAAGACGAAUUCGAUAAUCUGUUGUACUCGAUUUCACCGGAAAAUCCUGAGCUUCGUUCAGCAAUUUUUCAAGACAUAUUUUUCAAGAUAUUUUUUACAGACUUAUUGGCCUUUUCUGUUGUUCCUAAUGCAACAGCAAUUUAAUUUCAUUUAAUCGCCAAAAAUAUUGACCUAGCCACCGCCUUGCGGGGGUUAAUAAUAUGAUGGCGACAACGUGGAAUAGCACACAACAUAAAAGAAAGGUUCGAGGAAGCAACAACAUUUUGCAAAUAGAAAAUUGAAACUCCGGAAAUUAAACUGACAAUUCAAAUAUUGAUUUCGAGUCAUUAUCGAAGCGUUUGCAAUGCUAUUUUGCGAGAAAACAAAAUUGCUGAUCGACAAAAGCACGAGUAUAAGCUCGUGAACCGUCAACCGACGGAACAUGAAGAGACGGGAAGCAAAGGUAUGCGUGUCGAAGACGCGCCGAUGGAAACGCGAUUGUAAUGAAGUAGAAAUGAAACAAAGGAUAAUGAAAGGAGAAUUGUCUGGGAAAAUGUUUAUCUCGCGCAAAGAUCCGCGGUCCAGUUGUGUGCAAAUCAGGAGAAACGUCGACGAUUUUUGGAAAACGAAAUCAAGGAGGACGGACGAAAAUUUUCAACGAAGAAUCUCUGUUUUAAUAAUGUUCUUUGUUUACGGAUCACAAGAGAAACGACACGAAACCAACAGAGAGAUUCCGCACUUACUUUCUUGACUUGCGAUCUGAGGAUGGUCGGAAAGGUGAAAAAUUCUAAAGGAGUCGAGGACGUUUUACCAAUAAUAUCGCAGAUGCUCGAAAAAGAUUAACUUUUCAUUCGACACCAUUCUGCAGAGUGUCGUGAAAGAAGCCAUCGGCAAGAUUAUGUAUUCAGCAAUAUUUCUCCCUAAUGUAGACGUUCAUAAGUUACACCCAGACGUGAAGUCAGUAGAAAGUCUUCCGAAGUUCUUUACUUCAUUUAUUUAUAACUUCUAUAAUAUCGACACUUCGCCCGUUGACAGUUGAUAAUUUUCUUAAAACCACGGACAAACAAUCCAGGUCUUUACAGUGAUAGUAACUUCAAUUUAUGUGAUAAUAAUUUCUUCUUUUUAAUUCCACUGAUUUCUUCGGGAAUUUCGUUCACGAGUUUUACGAAUUUUUGAACGCGACUGUACAUAUUCCACAUUCUGGAAUAUAUUUUGGAAUAUUCCGUAUUCCGGGGCGUGGAAUUCCACGUUCACGAUUUUCCCUGUUCCGAGGUCUUACGACCAUUCUUUUUUUUUGUUGUCAUCGUGACUUUAAAUAAGAAGUUACUAACAAUGUAAUCGAGCGUAAUUAGCGACAGUGAAUUCCAGGAAUCGAACGGACGAGCUCGUUAAAAUCUGGUUAAAUGAUAUUUCUGAUUUAGUCGGACGUGAUUUAUAUUUAUAACUUAUUUGGAGAAACACUGUAGUGAACUUACAUAUUUAUACUUAUAAAUUAUUAUAAUAUACUUAAUAUUAUAUAUA